AUUGAACGCUGGCGGCAGGCCUAACACAUGCAAGUCGAACGGUAACAGGGAGAAGCUUGCUUCUUUGCUGACGAGUGGCGGACGGGUGAGUAAUGUCUGGGAAACUGCCUGAUGGAGGGGGAUAACUACUGGAAACGGUAGCUAAUACCGCAUAACGUCGCAAGACCAAAGAGGGGGACCUUCGGGCCUCUUGCCAUCGGAUGUGCCCAGAUGGGAUUAGCUAGUAGGUGGGGUAACGGCUCACCUAGGCGACGAUCCCUAGCUGGUCUGAGAGGAUGACCAGCCACACUGGAACUGAGACACGGUCCAGACUCCUACGGGAGGCAGCAGUGGGAAUAUUGCACAAUGGGCGCAAGCCUGAUGCAGCCAUGCCGCGUGUAUGAAGAAGGCCUUCGGGUUGUAAAGUACUUUCAGCGGGGAGGAAGGGAGUAAAGUUAAUACCUUUGCUCAUUGACGUUACCCGCAGAAGAAGCACCGGCUAACUCCGUG
rnacentral:rRNA from 1 species